rnacentral:rRNA from 1 species
AUUUUGGACAAUGGGGGAAACCCUGAUCCAGCCAUCCCGCGUGUAUGAUGAAGGCCUUCGGGUUGUAAAGUACUUUUGGCAGAGAAGAAAAGGUAUCUCCUAAUACGAGAUACUGCUGACGGUAUCUGCAGAAUAAGCACCGGCUAACUACGUGCCAGCAGCCGCGGUAAUACGUAGGGUGCAAGCGUUAAUCGGAAUUACUGGGCGUAAAGCGUGUGUAGGCGGUUCGGAAAGAAAGAUGUGAAAUCCCAGGGCUCAACCUUGGAACUGCAUUUUUAACUGCCGAGCUAGAGUAUGUCAGAGGGGGGUAGAAUUCCACGUGUAGCAGUGAAAUGCGUAGAUAUGUGGAGGAAUACCGAUGGCGAAGGCAGCCCCCUGGGAUAAUACUGACGCUCAGACACGAAAGCGUGGGGAGCAAACAGGAUUAGAUACCCUGGUAGUCCACGCCCUAAACGAUGUCAACUAGCUGUUGGGGCCGUUAGGCCUUAGUAGCGCAGCUAACGCGUGAAGUUGACCGCCUGGGGAGUACGGUCGCAAGAUUAAAACUCA